rnacentral:rRNA from 1 species
GCGACCCCAGGUCAGGCGGGGCCACCCGCCGAGUUUAAGCAUAUAAAUAAGCGGAGGAGAAGAAACUUACGAGGAUUCCCAUAGUAACGGCGAGCGAACCGGGAUCAGCCCAGCUUGAGAAUCGGGCGGCCGCGCCGUCCGAAUUGUAGUCUGGAGAAGCGUCAUCAGCGACGGACCGGGCCCAAGUCCCCUGGAAAUGGGCGCCGGGGAGGGUGAGAGUCCCGUCCGGUCCGGACCC